rnacentral:rRNA from 1 species
UGGGAAUUUGGACAAUGGGCGCAAGCCUGAUCCAGCAAUGCCGCGUGUGUGAAGAAGGCCUUCGGGUUGUAAAGCACUUUUGUCCGGAAAGAAAUCCUUGGCUCUAAUACAGUCGGGGGAUGACGGUACCGGAAGAAUAAGCACCGGCUAACUACGUGCCAGCAGCCGCGGUAAUACGUAGGGUGCAAGCGUUAAUCGGAAUUACUGGGCGUAAAGCGUGCGCAGGCGGUUUGCUAAGACCGAUGUGAAAUCCCCGGGCUCAACCUGGGAACUGCAUUGGUGACUGGCAGGCUAGAGUAUGGCAGAGGGGGGUAGAAUUCCACGUGUAGCAGUGAAAUGCGUAGAGAUGUGGAGGAAUACCGAUGGCGAAGGCAGCCCCCUGGCAAGUACUGACGCUCAUGCACGAAAAGCGUGGGGGAGCAAACAGGAUUAGAUACCCUGGUAGUCCCACGCCCUAAAACGAUGUCAACUAGUUGUUGGGGGAUUCAUUUCCUUAGUAACGUAGCUAACGCGUGAAGUUGACCGCCUGGGGAGUACGGUCGCAAGAUUAAAAGCUCAAAUGAAUUGAC